rnacentral:rRNA from 1 species
UGGGGAAUAUUGCACAAUUGGCGCAAGCCUGAUGCAGCCAUGCCGCGUGUAUGAAGAAGGCCUUCGGGUUGUAAAGUACUUUCAGUCGGGAGGAAGGUGGUAAGGUUAAUAACCUUGGCAAUUGACGUUACCGACAGAAGAAGCACCGUCUAACUCCGUGCCAGCAGCCGCGGUAAUUCGGAGGGUGCAAGCGUUAAUCGGAAUUACUGGGCGUAAAGCGCACGCAGGCGGUUGAUUGAGUCAGAUGUGAAAUCCCCGGGCUUAACCCGUGAAUUGCAUCUGAUACUGGUCAGCUAGAGUCUUGUAGAGGGGGGUAGAAUUCCAUGUGUAGCGGUGAGAUGCGUAGAGAUGUGGAGGAAUACCGGUGGCGAAGGCGGCCCCCUGGACAAAGACUGACGCUCAGGUGCGAAAGCGUGGGGAGCAAACAGG